rnacentral:rRNA from 1 species
UACGGAGGGGGCUAGGCGUUGUUCGGAUUUACUGGGCGUAAAGGGGCGCGUACGGCGGCUCGACAAGUCAGGCGUGAAAGCCCCGGGCCUCAACCUGGGAAUGGCGCUUGGGACUGGCGGGCUGGAGUUCGGGAGAGGAGCGUGGAAGUUCCCAGUGUAGAGGUGAAAUUCGUAGAUAUUGGGAAGAACACCGGUGGCGAAGGCGGCGCUCUGGACCGAGACUGACGCUGAGGCGCGAAAGCGUGGGAGCAACAGGAUAGAUACCC